CCCAUUUGUCUAUACCUCAUCUCUAGCAGCAUUCCUGUUACAAUGACAGCAUUAUAUAGUCACUACCAAAAUGUAAUGGCUUCAAGAAUGGGGGGAAAGCCAGCUGGUCCUUUGCAGAGGAGUUUGCCUACUCUUCUUCUAAAGGAUGAAGCCCCAAGGAAGUCUGGACACACAGCUUUCAGAAGGGUUCUCAGAGGGCAGAUCAAUGAAGAAUUUUGCUGUGUGGCUGACUGCACAUCCUCUAUCAAGCGUGCAUAUUCAUCUUUAAGGAGCUGAUCAAUUCAUUUCAAGACAUCAUUCUUCCAAAACAAAGCAGAGGCUGAUAAACAACACUCCAAUGGUGGCUUGGAGAUGAUAUGAAUCCUACAUAAAAAUGAGGAAAAUCCUAUAUUUUUAGAAUCUUCAUCUCCUGCCCAGAACUGACCACUGUCCAGGAGGUUCUGGGGGUGAGAAUACUCCUUUGCUUCAGAAGAAACCUCAUCUGGGAUUAAGGCACAAUACCUGUCUCAUCAUUAGGUUAAGGUGACGGUCUGUAAGGAAAACCAAGGUCUCACCAUAUUCUUCACCUAUACUGAGGAGCAGAGACUAGGACCAACAAAACACUGCUUCAUAGCUACCAUCAUUUGCAGCAAACAGGGCAGGCAGUGGGCUGUGACAUCGGAUAUAGGACAAAGAAGGCUGGCUUUCUUCAAGUGCAAAAGUUCCAGAGUGUCUACCAUUUCCAUCUCCCAGUCCCAUUCCCCUUCAAGAGAAUCAAUGUUUUCUUUUUUGCUGGAACUGAACAUCAUAUUUAAAUCCCCACUGUAUCAUUAAAUAUGUCUCUUGCCUCCACACCGA